rnacentral:rRNA from 1 species
UACGGAGGGUGCAAACGUUGCUCGGAAUCAUUGGGCGUAAAGCGCACGUAGGCGGCUCAGCAAGUCGGGUGUGAAAGCCCUCGGCUCAACCGAGGAAGUGCAUUCGAAACUACUGAGCUUGAAUACUGGAGAGGAUCGCGGAAUUCCCGGUGUAGAGGUGAAAUUCGUAGAUAUCGGGAGGAACACCAGUGGCGAAGGCGGCGAUCUGGACAGAUAUUGACGCUGAGGCGCGAAAGCGUGGGGAGCAAACAGG